GACGAACGCUGGCGGCGUGCUUAACACAUGCAAGUCGAGCGGAAAGGCCCUUCGGGGUACUCGAGCGGCGAACGGGUGAGUAACACGUGAGUAACCUGCCUUCAGCUUUGGGAUAACCCUCGGAAACGGGGGCUAAUACCGGGUAUGACUGCCUGCCGCAUGGUGGGUGGUGGAAAGAUUUUUUGGCUGGAGAUGGGCUCGCGGCCUAUCAGCUUGUUGGUGGGGUGAUGGCCUACCAAGGCGACGACGGGUAGCCGGCCUGAGAGGGCGACCGGCCGCACUGGGACUGAGACACGGCCCAGACUCCUACGGGAGGCAGCAGUGGGGAAUAUUGCACAAUGGGCGGAAGCCUGAUUCAGCGACGCCGCGUGAGGGACGACGGCCUUCGGGUUGUAAACCUCCUUCGACCCUGACGAAGCGCAAGUGACGGUAGGGGGAGAAGAAGCGCCGGCCAACUACGUGCCAGCAGCCGCCGUAAAAC
rnacentral:rRNA from 1 species